AUGAUUGUUUACAGACGACGUACAAUGGAAAUGAGAUGGUUUCCUGACUCUUGUCCUGGACUAGACUACUGGAGUGAACGAGUGGUACGUUGUUGCUCAAACCAUAGCCAAGAAGAAGAAGAAGACGAGAGCGUGCAGCGUGCUCUGCUCACCGAGCCUUUGCAGCAGGGGCACCCGCGCCGGCGCAGUAGAAGUGGCGGUGGGGGUGGCGACGGCGACGUCGAAGCGCAGGUAGCGGUCGAAGCCGACGACGGCGCCCGCCACGCCGUCGCGCCACGCGUCGAGGCCCCAGCAGCAGGUGUCCCCCGCCCGCGCCGAGUGCCAGGGGCACCAGGACCAGGCGCAUGUCUCCGCCACCCGCGCCGAGUACUGGACGCACCAGCUGCACUCCUCCGCCGUGCGGUCCCGCGCGCACUGCGCCAGCACGCGCACCGUGCUGUUCUUCCUGUAGUUGUUCGCCGCGGCGGUCCAGUCAACGGCCACCUGCAUCCCGGCGCUGGUGGCCGCGGCCGGCCCCAUGCGCCACGCCAGGUCGGCGAGGCUCUGCAGCUCGGAGGAGGUGCUGGUGGUGAGCGCGUCGGCGCCGGAGAUGAUGCGCGCGCGGAAGCUGUCCGAGUAGGGCGAUGA
rnacentral:rRNA from 1 species